AACGAACGCUGGCGGCAUGCCUAACACAUGCAAGUCGAACGAGACCUUCGGGUCUAGUGGCGCACGGGUGCGUAACGCGUGGGAAUCUACCCUUCGGUUCGGAAUAACUCAGGGAAACUUGAGCUAAUACCGGAUAAUGACGUAAGUCCAAAGAUUUAUCGCCGAAGGAUGAGCCCGCGUAAGAUUAGCUAGUUGGUGGGGUAAAGGCCUACCAAGGCUACGAUCUUUAGCUGGUCUGAGAGGAUGAUCAGCCACACUGGGACUGAGACACGGCCCAGACUCCUACGGGAGGCAGCAGUGGGGAAUAUUGGACAAUGGGCGAAAGCCUGAUCCAGCAAUGCCGCGUGAGUGAUGAAGGCCUUAGGGUUGUAAAGCUCUUUCGGUUGGGACGAAAAGGUUCGUGUUAACACCGCGAACUAAUGACGGUACCGACAGAAGAAGCACCGGCUAACUACGUGCCAGCCGCCGCUGUAAG
rnacentral:rRNA from 1 species